GCGGACUAUUCCAGACGAAAGACAAUGAUAUGCUGCAAA
rnacentral:sRNA from 1 species